UUGAUUCUCAACUCAUUAUUUAACUGUUAACACAUGGGGAUCACACACCUCGAAUUCAUUUCAUAUUUCAGCAAUCCUACUAGUUUGACUAGUUGAAAUACACGAAAAAAGGAUUAAACUAACUAAAGCCAAUGAAUAACUCACAGUUAAAAGUCCACAGUCUAUUACAGUUCAAAACAAUCCUAUUUUAACUACAGUGGACAACUAAUCACAUCACAGGAGAACUAUCCAAAACAUAACAAAAUUAUUUAAAUUGCAGUUCCUCAGCAGAAAUUCAGCUUCAGUUUCAUUUCAUGUUUUCAACAGGUGAAGCUACAUCAACAUAGUCCCAAAGUGUGUAGCUGGCAAUGGAAAUACAGUGAAGGAGAAGAAGAAACAGCAAUAGUAACACACAACAGAUCAGGUAACAGCUCAGGAAGAUUUUGAGAGCAAAACAAAAUUAGGAAAUCAAUCACAAUCACUUGAAUACACCCAGAUAUGGUUGAAAAUGCACUAGAAUACUUCACAGAAACACAUCACCCAAGAGCUGACCCCAGAAUAACUCAAUUGAGACCAAAAACCAAUGGAAAACAAACAAGUAUAUCUCUGAAACCAGGGAAAUCAGAAACUGAACUAGAAAAAUGUAAAUCAAUAGCUAAAAGUUCAAAUUCACCUAAUGUUCUAAUGGAACUGUAGUGUUUUGGAUUUUUAAAAGUUUUCUAUUAUUUUUUUUUUUGUUUUUUAUUUUUUGAAGAAAGCUAAGAUCUAAAGGAGUUGUUUGAUCUGAAAUUCGACUUUCAGAUCUGUGAAGCUUGAGGAGUAGUUGGUGGGAAUUUUUUGAGGCCUCAAACUUGUUAAACAAGGCAAUGAUCAUGCCUUUUUAUAGACAAAGCUAAGAGAUUUUCAGAUUUUCCAACUCUACACAUCAGUCCCUCACCUCAACCCUCCUCCAAACUAUCUAAAAACACUAUCAGCUAUAACCACACAGCUUAAUAAAGUAGGAUUAAAUAAACAAAACUACAAUCAACCAUCCAAAAUCAAACAAAACCCCUAACAGGAAAAGUUAAACUCAUUAUGAAUCCUAAAUCAAAAUGUAGUGACUAAUUAGUUAAACACAGAAUCAAACUUAUUAAAAUAGACUACAAUUUUAUAUGGAAACAUAACUUAUUAAUCAACAUGAAGCAACUAAUCAAAAAUACCAAAAUGCAUUUAACUAAUCGCACCAUGAUUAACACCAAAUCAAACACAAAUGACUUAACGAACAACACCCAAUAUUUAUCAAAAGAGAAUGAAGAAUAAACAAAGAACUAACCUCAUUAGAUACCAGUUUAAUUGGCAGAAAUAUCAGUCCAUAAGAGAAAAAUAAUGAAGAAGGACCAAAAGACCUUACCUAUAGAGCCUGGAACAGAGACUAGAAAACUUGAUUCGAGCCUUAGAAUAAUGUAAAUGUUUGUACUUAUCAAAGAACAAACGAACACGUUAUUUCGUUAUUCCAAUCCAAUACCAAACUCAGGCAAUCAGCAAAAAUUGAGCAAACUUGAACUCUUACGGUUCUUCCUUCUCUAUGAUUUUAGAUUCGAGAAGUUCUCUUGAUGUUUGAAGGAAACCAAUGGGGAAUUCAAGUAGAGGGGAACCAGGAGAGUAUAAGGUGUGUUUUUGAGGUCAUUUAGUGGUGGCGACGCCACUAGAUAACUUAUGGCGGCACUAGGGUUCAGAGCUUCAAAUCAAAAUUCGAGGGGUUUGGGGUUGAUUCGAGAAAAAGAAGCUAUGGAUUCGGAUAGAGGGUAAGGAAAUGAGUAAAUAGUGUAUUUUUCGGGUGGUUUGGAGAUGGGCCGCCGGCAAAGACGAUUUUCGAUCGGUGGCGUGAGGUGGCGUGACACAGGGUGUUCUGAGAGAGAUGAAACCNNN
rnacentral:lncRNA from 1 species